AGAUGUGAGGGCAAUCUGGCUAUGACAUCUGUCACCCCAUUGAUCACCAGGGUUUACUCAGCUGAUCUGACUGGCCAGAUGGGGGUUCCCUUCCUCCCUCACCACUCCAUAUGCUUCCCUCAGGAAGCUGCAUGCUCAGUGGAAGAGGACAGACAAUCUUCCCUGAUAGAGAAGGACCAUUUCCUUGGUCAGAUGUGUAAGAGUAGAGUAGCUGUGCUCCCCUGCUAGAAUCUGCAAACAAGCUCUCAAGAAACAAGAAACUACAUUCCAGGAAGGAGAAAGGACAUCUAAUGGUUU
rnacentral:snRNA from 1 species